UACGUAGGGACCAAGCGUUGUUCGGAUUUACUGGGCGUAAAGGGCGCGUAGGCGGCAAUUCAAGUCAUCUGUGAAAUCUCCGGGCUUAACCCGGAACGGUCAGAUGAUACUGCUUUGCUAGAGUGCGGAAGGGGCAAUCGGAAUUCUCGGUGUAGCGGUGAAAAUGCGUAGAUAUCGAGAGGAACACCUGAGGUGAAGACGGGGUUGCUGGG
rnacentral:rRNA from 1 species